rnacentral:rRNA from 1 species
GAUGAACGCUGGCGGCGUGCCUAAUACAUGCAAGUCGAGCGAACGGACGAGAAGCUUGCUUCUCUGAUGUUAGCGGCGGACGGGUGAGUAACACGUGGAUAACCUACCUAUAAGACUGGGAUAACUUCUGGAAACCGGAGCUAAUACCGGAUAAUAUUUUGAACCGCAUGGUUCAAAAGUGAAAGACGUUCUUGCUGUCACUUAUAGAUGGAUCCGCGCUGCAUUAGCUAGUUGGUAAGGUAACGGCUUACCAAGGCAACGAUGCAUAGCCGACCUGAGAGGGUGAUCGGCCACACUGGAACUGAGACACGGUCCAGACGCCUACGGGAGGCAGCAGUAGGGAAUCUUCCGCAAUGGGCGAAAGCCUGACGGAGCAACGCCGAGUGAGUGAUGAAGGUAUUCGGAUCGUAAAACUCUGUUAUUAGGGAAGAACAUAUGUGUAAGUAACUGUGCACAUCUUGAAGGUACCUAAUCAGAAAGCCACGGCUAACUACGUG